ACAACCGGUAGCGAUGGAUCCCUUGGCACGUCAUUCGAUGAAGACCGUUGCAAAUUGCGAUAAAGUGAUGUGAUGCGCAAGUCCACCACUUAUACGUGAAUCAUCGAGUUGUUGAACGCAUUGCACCGCGCCCUAAUCCGGCUGCGGUAUGCCCCUUUGAGCGUCAUUGUAUUCCUUCGGGAGUCCUUUUUUACAAAGGACCCGAGUUCGGAGUCCUCGGUCCUCUCGAUCGUGUUCUCUUAGAUGCCUCGCACCGAUCGCCUGAUGGGUCCUCUAAUGCCUAAGCGUGGAGUUCCUUCAAGUUUGAGACGUGCUCGACCGGGUCUUCAGCUCGUGUCACCAAGUCUGCCUAACAAGCAGUACUACAACACAUGACCUCAUUGGGGUAGGACAACCCGCUAGACUUAAGCAUAUUAAUCAGCGGAGGAAAAGAAACUAACCAGGAUC
rnacentral:rRNA from 1 species